UACAGAGGUCUCAAGCGUUGUUCGGAUUCAUUGGGCGUAAAGGGUGCGUAGGCGGCGCGGUAAGUCGGGUGUGAAAUCUCGGAGCUUAACUCCGAAACUGCAUUCGAUACUGCCGUGCUUGAGGACUGGAGAGGAGACUGGAAUUUACGGUGUAGCGGUGAAAUGCGUAGAUAUUGGGAGGAACACCAAUGGCGAAGACGGCUCACUGGACCGGUUCUGACGCUGAUGCGCGAAAGCGUGGGGAGCAAACGGG
rnacentral:rRNA from 1 species